rnacentral:lncRNA from 1 species
GGAGACCUUUCUGAGUCUUUCGUCGUGAUAUCGGAGUGUAUUUUCUUCUCCUGAACGUUCUGGAAGAUUUUAUGAUGAUUUUUGGGUGACCUAUCGGCUUCUAGGGUUUUUGGUGGUUUAACAUAGGGUUCUACUGCUUUCCGGUGGCUCGAUUCUUACUCAUUGGACGUUUUGGGUGCCUCUCCGACGUUCCUGACCACAUUUUCAGUAAGGAUUUCCAAGGUUACACCUAGGGCUUUGUACCUAGGGUUUCUCUGUUGUUUGAAGGCCGAUCUUCUCCGGUCGCGAAGAAGGAGGGUAACUCUGUCCUUAUCUUCGGUAUUGUAUGUGAUUAUUUGACU